GAACUACAAGUGAAAAACUUCAAACUUAAAGGACUUGACGGUAUCCCAAACCGACCUAGAGGAGCCUGUCCUAUAAUCGAUACCCCCCGCUCCACCCAACCUCAACUGGCACAAUAUCAGCCUAUAUACCGCCGUCGACAGCCUACCCUAUGAAGGUUCAACAGUAGACACAAUAGCCCCCCCGCUAACACGUCGGGUCAAGGUGUAGCAAAUGUUGAGGAAGAGAUUGGCUACAUUUUUUAUGAUAAAAAAAACGAAAAGUACUAUGAAACAGUACAUGAAGGUGAAUUUAGUAGUAAAAUAAACAAGAGUGUUUAUUUUAACACCGCUCUGGGAUGCGUACACACCGCCCG
rnacentral:rRNA from 1 species